rnacentral:rRNA from 1 species
CUUGCCACACCUAAAGUCAAGGGCGGGAUGGGUUUCCGUGAUAUCCAUGAAUUCAAUCUAGCACUUCUUGGGAAGCAUGGCUGAAGGUUCAUGACAAACCCAGAUGCUCUGUGUACUAGAGUUAUGGAGGGGAGAUACUUUUCAGACUCAGACAUUAUGCAGGCUACUACCCCAAAAUCAGCAUCAGCCACUUGGAGGGCGAUUGUCGUUGGACGAGAAGCUCUCAAUGUUAGUCUUAUUAAGCACAUUGGUGAUGGCGCAUCCACCUCGGUAUGGAAUGACCGGUGGAUCCCAUCGACCAUCUCCAUGAAACCGUUAUCCAGGCCACCCACGACUCCGAUCCUAAUGGCCAGCGACCUGAUUGAUUCGAAGAACUGUUCCUGGAAAUGUGAUCUUGUUCGUCAAACAUUCAUCUCACCGGACGCGGAGGCAAUUUUGAACAUCCCUCUUCGGCAAGGCGGUGGGGAGGAUUUCUUAGCAUGGGCACAUGAGAGAUCCGGCAUUUAAUCUAUUAAAAUAGCCUAUUGA